rnacentral:rRNA from 1 species
UACGUAGGGGGCAAGCGUUGCCCGGAAUCAUUGGGCGUAAAGCGCGUGUAGGCGGCCCGGUAAGUCCGCUGUGAAAGUCCAGGGCUCAACCCUGGGAUGCCGGUGGAUACUGUCGGGCUCGAGUCCGGAAGAGGAGUGUGGAAUUCCUGGUGUAGCGGUGAAAUGCGCAGAUAUCAGGAGGAACACCGGUGGCGAAGGCGGGUCUCUGGGCAGUAACUGACGCUGAGAAGCGAAAGCGUGGGGAGCGAACAGG